rnacentral:rRNA from 1 species
GUGUAGGCGGGUAGUUAAGUCAGAAGUGAAAUCCAAUAGCUCAACUAUUGAACUGCUUUUGAAACUGAUUACCUAGAAUAUGGGAGAGGUAGAUGGAAUUUCUGGUGUAGGGGUAAAAUCCGUAGAGAUCAGAAGGAAUACCGAUUGCGAAGGCGAUCUACUGGAACAUUAUUGACGCUGAGACGCGAAAGCGUGGGGAGCAAACAGGAUUAGAUACCCUGGUAGUCCACGCCCUAAACGAUGUACACUAGUUGUUGUGAGGCUCGACCUUGCAGUAAUGCAGUUAACACAUUAAGUGUACCGCCUGGGGAGUACGGUCGCAAGAUUAAAACUCAAAGGAAUAGACGGGGACCCGCACAAGCGGUGGAGCAUGUGGUUUAAUUCGACGAUACACGAAGAACCUUACCUGGACUUGACAUAGUAAGAACUUUCUAGAGAUAGAUUGGUGUCUGCUUGCAGAAACUUAUAUACAGGUGCUGCACGGCUGUCGUCAGCUCGUGUCGUGAGAUGUUGGGCUAAGUCCCGCAACGAGCGCAACCCUCGUCAUUAGUUGCUAACAGUUCGGCUGAGAACUCUAAUGAGACUGCCUACGCAAGUAGGAGGAAGGUGAGGACGACGUCAAGUCAUCAUGGCCCUUACGUCCAGGGCUACACACGUGCUACAAUGGGGUAUACAAAGAGCCGCAAUACGGUGACGUGGAGCAAAUCUCAAAAAUAUCUCCCAGUUCGGAUUGUAGUCUGCAACUCGACUACAUGAAGUUGGAAUCGCUAG